GUCCAGAGAGGCACAGCGACUCGGCUCUGCAGCUCUCAACAGCUCCAGCUACAGCCACCACUGUCCCCUCUCUCGCUCUCUCGCUCCCCAACACUCUCACGCUCUCCGCUACUCGGCCUGCAGGAGCCAACCAUCAUGUGGAUCAAGUGGAUCGCCACGCUGGUCGCCUUUGGCGCCCUGGUGCAAAGUGCGGUAGCAUGUCCCUCGCAGUGUUCGUACAUAUAGUCUCCUCAGCAGGGCGGGGGCCAGACACAAACAAUGCAGGGUUCUUAACCAAAAUUGAAGUUGCUAUCAGGAUAUAUGUAGUUAAAUAUAUUAACAUAUAUUUUAUAUAGUGUUAGACAUGAAGUGUAUAUGAUAUAUAAAAUUUUCCAAAACAUAUUUAGAUUGUAUUUUUAAAACAAAUAAGCUAUUUGUAAAAAAAAAAAAACUAUGUUAAAUAAUUCGAAUCUGGAAAAUAAAAUCCAAUUCUGGAAAAUGAUCAAAUAAUGACAAAACACCUUCCAUGAGUAAAAUCAUAAUAAUCCGAAUUUAGAAAAUAAGUUAAAUCUGGGAAACUUGGGCCAAUGAAAUUUAGAUAAAUGUAUAGGCUGUCACUCGAAGUAGCCCAAGUAGGUGCUGCAUAAAUCAGUGUGCGCAAUUGAUAUCGAUGAAGGCGUCUCAGAUGGAAUUACAUAAAAUACAAUUCACACGAAAUCCCAAACCGUAGAAUAUAUAAAAACACGACAUUUAGUCUAUCCAUCAAGAAAACAAGCAAUCAAUGUAUUCGUGAACACUGAAAAUCCUGUGAAGCCAGCUACCAAGGUAGAAUGCAAGGGAGAUCCCACGGUGCAAUGGCACAGAACAAGAACAACGACAUCAAAGUGAUACGUGCAGAAGGAACGGGCAACAACGGAACAGAACGCGUCAGAGGUGCAGGCAAAUAUAGUGCUUAAAGAACAAUAAACAACAGGCACAUUGCACCACCAACAGCAAUAAGGAUGAAGUAAUGAACUGUUGGACAGGGCAUGAGCACGAUGCAAAGCGAAUGCGAACGAGCGAAUAAAACAACAACAACAACCACCACGGGAACGCAGACAGGAAUAGCACGUGACUUUCGGUAGAGGUGCAGCAUCCAAACUGUGUGUGUGUAUUCUGAGCUCAGAGUGAUUUGGAAUGGGGUAGGGCCAGGAGAGGGAGCCGAGCCUCAGCCGAAGAGGCGAGGGCAUUAAUAAAAUACCAACAAAGCAAUAUACUACAGGAAUUAUAAUUUACAACACAUGAAGCUUAUCCUCCAUUAUACUAAAGGUCAAUUAUUAAAAUCAAGGAAUGGCACAGUUUAAGGUAGAUAGCCAGCUGUCCUGUAUUGAGAGAUAUAUUAUGAAACAUAUUGAAAGAUGUAGACUCUCUUGACAGAGGCGAGGUUAAUUGAGCUCGACAGCUCGUUUUCCAAGGGCGACCUGUCCAUGAAGGCGGCAAUGAUGCCACAUGCACAGGUAACUACGAGGAAUGAUACGUUACAAGAACUAGUGGGAAAUAAAACGCAGCGAGUGUCAAAAGUACUUUAACAACAAAUGGAAUAAUUACAACGGAUUGGAGGAAGGCCUGCAAAUGCGAAGACCCGUUUCAAGAACAUUGCAUAAAGUGACAGAAGUAAUUAUUGUUUUUAUCAAUUAACCGGUUGGAUCAUUCGGAAUCGCGUUCGAAUCUGUGUGUGUAAUACUCUUGAAGAAACAAUCAUAAGCUGCGUAGAGCUGGAUGCGAUUGCAACUCUCAGUGCCAAGACCGGUUCAUUCCGAAAUUUAGACGCAGCGAUUGAGAAUGCCCCGGAACACUUUGGUGUUCUCGAGAUUAGCCGGGGUUGUGACCCAUUCCAUAACUGCGUGAAUUGUUUAUAUAUAUUUUAAAUAAUUUUUAUUCCUUCAAUGAAGAUGGCAUGAACGAAACCAAUAUCUGCCUCUGUUGAUUUAAUAUUUUUUGGGUAAAUAAUUUCACCACUGCCUUGGCGAUGUAACCAGGAGUCAGGCGCCUGUGAUGAGAUGAAUUACAGGCAGCUGAAACACAGAUUCUAAGCCAGGAACAAAACAAUGCCAGCUCAGGCCUCUCUGACCUCCGAGCCAUCUGCCCAUUAUUUUUGUAGCAGAGGAUUCCUAACGACUAUGGGCUUGUGUUUAUAAGGCAAGGUCACGAUUCUGGUGGUCAUAAAUUGCUGAUGCCUUAAGAGAAGCGUUGAUGGCAGUGCACGUGGCCUGUAAUCCAGCAAAGGUUGGUGGAUCACCACACAAAGGUUCAGAAACUCCUUUCUCGUGCGCGUCGAGGAGGAGCCAUACCCUGGUUCACAAGGAGAAGGCAGUAUAGCAAAUGUGGACUCCACCUAUUCCAUAUUUAUGGCAGACAUGUGUGGGUUUUAUCCAGGUGUUCCAGUUUCCUCCCACAUGUAAUUACUCAUUAAUUGUCCAACACCACUCUAAUAUAAAGAAGACCGCAGAGCUCUGGCAAUAGUUGGUGCUAGUUCAUUAUGUGGUUGCCUUCCAACGUGUCUAUGUUUUCUCCACGUGCAUUCAAGUCGUUCUCCGUCUUCGAGAAUGAGCAAAUACUGUGGUAAUCAGAUCGCGGAAAUAAUGUAUACUAUUUAUGCAUGUAAGUUGAACUUCUUUCACAUAGUACAUAGCCAACCAUGCUAAUCGGAGGUGCGGGCUAGAAUAACAGCUAUGGGUAUUCUUUGGGUCUUUCGGUAAAGUCACGAAAAUAGGUUCAAAGAAAUAACAAAAAUAACAAAAAACUACGACGUUUCGAUUGCAACACAAGCGAUGGUCACAUCGUCGAUAGAUCGGUGCAUUCAAACAGCUCUAGUUUGAGCUCAGCAACUCUUCCCCCAUCUCAAGCCUCACCCCUUUCGAUGACAUUGGUGAUCAGCCUGAACCGUUUAAUUUCAAUAAUAUCACAGCGCUGGAUGUGCUCAGCCAACUAGCCUCACGUAAGACACCCUCCUCAACUCGGGAAGAUAAACUACCCACUUUUUAAUUAGUUGCAGUGGGUGAAAUUAUAAUCUAUAAACCUCUUGUCCAUCCCCAGGAAUUGAAAACUGCGUUCAUUCAUCCUCUCCACAACAGGUGUAUCUACAGACGACUCCAACUGUUACCAGCCAAUGUAGAUCCUAUCACCAUAAAUUAACAUUUUCCAAAAAGUCUGAAGGCCCAAAUUAACAAUAACACCACACAAAUGGGCUGUCUCACCCUAAAUAAUCAGGCUUCCAUAAAAACAAAAACUAUUGCACAAAGGCGGCAGUACUCAACUACCUUGAUUUCGUAUUUAAUAGACUGUACAAUGAGCAAUACUGUGCCAUACUUUUCCUUGACUUGUCCAAAGACGUCGAUACGAUCGGUCAUGUAACCCUAAUAAUACGACUCGACAGCCUCAAUUUCUCCGUCGAUACAAUUGAAUAGUUAAAUAGCUACCUUUUUGAGCAAAUUCAGGUUGUUUCGGUCGACAACUCCUACCCAAAAUGUUAUUAAUCACGAAGGCAGUUCCACAAUGCUCCACACUUAGACCAAUUGUAUUCCUCCCUCUGUGUAAAUUAUCUGGGAAACCAACUCAAAUUGUCUGUGGUCAUUAUUUCUGACGAUACUGCAAUACUGUUAAAUGGAAUUUCACCAGAAGCGGUAAUACCUUAUAUGAGAAAGUGAUUUUGACCUAAUUCAACAUCCCCUUUUCCCCUAAAAUUGUUUCUGAAGGCAAAUCAAACCGAGGUAAUUAUUGUCUCCAAUAAGAGAAAUCCUGCCACUUUAACUACCCAGGUUGUGGAUCAAGAUAAUAAACACAUCGAACAAGUAGGGAAUUACAAAUACUUAGGAUUCAUCAUCGAGUCCAAAUUUAAGUUUCACUUCCACUUUGAUUAUUUUGAAGAUUAAGAUUAAAAUCGGCUUACUAUGCAGAGAUUAAAACCGGAGACCAUCCCUGCUACAUUUGGAUAUGGUAAAAAAAAACACACUUCUUGCGUACCUUCUCAAGCUAUGGUUCCGAUUACAAGAAAACCUUGCUCAACGCGACUUGAUUGAACACUUAUUUUGGCUAUACACGGUUUACCGAAUGAGGUCUGUUUUCUGGAACACGGGGGUGAUGUUUCGGCUAGACGCUAAGAAUCUCAUCUGUGCGUCGAAAAGUAGUGCCGUAAGAGUGCUGCAUCAUAUUCUUAACUCUUUCGGUAAAGUCACGUUGAAGGGAAACAAUCAAAUAAUAAAAAAAUAUAUAAAACAAUAAA